rnacentral:rRNA from 1 species
UACGUAGGGUGCGAGCGUUGUCCGGAAUUAUUGGGCGUAAAGAGCUUGUAGGCGGUUUGUCGCGUCUGCCGUGAAAAUUCGAGGCUCAACCUCGAACUUGCGGUGGGUACGGGCAGACUAGAGUGUGGUAGGGGAGACUGGAAUUCCUGGUGUAGCGGUGAAAUGCGCAGAUAUCAGGAGGAACACCUGUGGCGAAAGCGGCUCACUGGACCAUAACUGACGCUGAUGCACGAAAGCUAGGGGAGCAAACAGG